GAUGAACGCUGGCGGCGUGCCUAAUACAUGCAAGUCGAGCGAACGGACGAGAAGCUUGCUUUUCUGAUGUUAGCGGCGGACGGGUGAGUAACACGUGGAUAACCUACCUAUAAGACUGGGAUAACUUCGGGGAACCGGAGCUAAUACCGGAUAAUAUUUUGAACCGCAUGGUUCAAAAGUGAAAGACGGUCUUGCUGUCACUUAUAGAUGGAUCCGCGCUGCAUUAGCUAGUUGGUAAGGUAACGGCUUACCAAGGCAACGAUGCAUAGCCGACCUGAGAGGGUGAUCGGCCACACUGGAACUGAGACACGGUCCAGACUCCUACGGGAGGCAGCAGUAGGGAAUCUUCCGCAAUGGGCGAAAGCCUGACGGAGCAACGCCGCGUGAGUGAUGAAGGUCUUCGGAUCGUAAAACUCUGUUAUUAGGGAAGAACAUAUGUGUAAGUAACUGUGCACAUCUUGACGGUACCUAAUCAGAAAGCCACGGCUAAUUACGUG
rnacentral:rRNA from 1 species